GUCUGCUACCAAGAAGAGUUAAUCAUCUCCCCAAAUAGUGCAGGGAAUGAGUUUUAACCUUGAAUAUACAGGCUUUGCGCUCACAGAUACUGGUCAUUAAUGUUUAUGCAUGAAAGGUGACAGUUUUUGUUUGGUAUACAGAGCAUUGAAAAGGAAAAAGGAACUACUAAUUUCUACAGGUUUCAUUGUCUUGAGAUCAAAUAUUCAUAGCAACUCAGAAAUCUGUCUAGAGAAAUGUAGCUAUUGCUAAGCUAAUGCUUAGUAAACUCAAAUAGACCCCAUUUUAUUACUGAUAUAUAUGAAUUAUAUUGUUUCAAAUGCAUGCUUUUAUCAAUAAUUCUUCAAAGGAAAAAUUUUUAAUUUUACAGAAUCUUUUUUUUUAAUCUAUCAAGCUUUUUCUAAACCAUCAUACCUAUGUUGCUCAAAAAUUGUUGAGACCCGGGGUCAAGGAGACAUUCACAUUGGCUUUCAACGGAAAAUGUGCUUCUCUACACUAAAAUGGCCACUUAAGCAAGACUGUGGAAAUGAUUUAUCUCACAAUGUUUAAAGUUGGAUCCUGACUCCAGCUAUGUCAUGACUGCACAAUCAGUCAGAGACAAGUAGUUACACGCUCCUAAAUAAAGAAGAGCACUCUAAUGGCCAAAUGAGUUGAGCAUCUAACAUACUAAAAUUACCUUAAUAAAAGUUAAAUUACCCACAUCCAAAAGAAUACAAAAAUCACUCGCAAUAAUAAUGUUUAAGUGUUAAGAACAGCAGAACAUAAAAUAGAUCUAUUUACGUCACAUAAAUGUUAUCUUCGCAAAUUGGUGUUAAGCAGUGAUAUUAGCAGUAUAUAAGUCAGAAAGUAAGAAAGUAGUAUAUAAGUCAGAAAGUAGCAGUAUAUGAGUCAGAAAGAAAAAGAAAAGGAAUCAAGCGGUAUAACCAGAGGCUAUCACAUGAGAGCAUAGAUUGCUGUUUAUUGUUCACUGUAGUAUCCCCAGGACCUAGUAAGUUCUGAAUAAAUAUUUGUUGAAUGAAUGAAUGUAUGAAUAAAGGAACAGAGCUCAUCAAAACAAAAACGCAAUUUGUGUUGUAGAAUUAUAGGCCCAUGCAUACUUGCUUUAACAAGUCAGAAAAGAGACUUCCCAAAAAUAACAUGUUUGCUACUGACUAUAAUUUAAAAUUGGGCGUUAAAAUUUAUGUAUGGAUCCUACAUUAAAAUAUGGCCAAGAUUUUUUUUUUUUUUUUUUUUUUUUUUUUUGAGACAGAGUCUCACUCUGUCGCCCAGCCUGGAAUGCAGUGGCUCGCUCGACUCACUGCAACCUCCGCCUCCCGGGUUCAAGCGAUUCUCCUGCCUCAGGCUCCCAAAUAGCUGAGAAUACAGGUAUGCACCACUACGUCCGGCUAAUUUUUGUAUUUUUUAAGUAGAGACAGGGUUUCACCAUGUUGGUCAGGCUGGUCUCGAACUCCUGACCUCGUGAUCCGCCCACCUGGGCCUCCCAAAGUGUUGGGAUUACAGGCGUGACCCACCGUGCCCGGCUGGCCGAGAUAUUAAUAGAAGCAAUUGGGACCAUCCUAAAAGACCCUUCAGAUACUGUCUCUGUAGAGUCAAUCAUGUUACAGUUUCAGAAGUUUCUUGGUCAAAUUGACUAACAGGUUUUGAGCACCCUCAUUCCACCUGAAUCUUUCCUAAUUCACCAUUUCAAUUAUGUGUACUAAAUGGGCUCAGAGCCUGCUUCUAGGGGCAUUAGAAAAUGAGACACAGUCCAAGAUGUGUUUUAACUCUUCCUGGAGCAGCAAUCUAAAGUGCACCCACCUCCAUUCUUCUCCAGCUCAUUAUCCUGUGUCUUUACUUUGCAGUGCUUAGCACAAUCUAGUUAUCUUGUUUGUUUGCUAUUUUCUGUCUGUCUACUCCCACUAGAAUGUUAUUUCCAGGAGAGCAAGAACUUUGACUAUCUUAGUUUAUCACUGUAUUCCAGCACCUGACACAGUGCCUGGUACCCCAUACUCAAAUUUUUAGGAAUGAAUGAACAAGUAAAUGAGUGACUAGGAUCUAAGGAUGAUGUAAAUAGUUUAUUGCUGGCUAGAGGAAAGUAUAAGAAAAAUGUUCUCAUACUUCUACUCUAGGCUGCUAUAUGACAACAUAUAAUUUUAUUUUUAAAUAAGAUUUGGUAAAAGGCUUUCUAAGCAAUUGAUAUAUUAUCCUUGGAUGAAUGAUCCAAGUCCUCCCAUUCCAACUAGAUGCUUUUUUUUUUUUUUUUUUUUUUUUUUUUGACCGAGUCUUGCUCUGUCACCCAGGCUGGAGUGCAGUGGUGCGAUCUCAGCUCACUACAACCUCCACCUCCUAGGGUUCAAGCGAUUCUUCUGCCUCAGCCUCCCAAGUAGCUGGGAUUACAGGCAUGCGCCAGCAUGCCCAGAUAAUUUUUGUAUUUUUAGUAGAGACAGGGUUUCAUCAUGUUGGCCAGGCUGGUCUCUAGCUCCUGACCUCAGGUGAUCCACCGCCUUGGCCUCCCAAAGUGCUGGGAUUACAACUGUAAGCCACUGCACCUGACCCCAGAUAGAUUCUAAGACAGAUUCUGACAGUUCAAAGUUCAAACUGCUCUCGAAAUAUAAGACUAUAUUUCUAAAAACAACUAAAAAAAAUUAAAAACUUCAAGAUUCCAACUACAGCACCAUCUCUUAGUCCAUUCACUUUAACAAUUAACUCUUAAGUUUCCUGUCAUACUUCUUAAUUUUCACAUUAUAAAAAUAUUCAAUUCACUAAUUCAACAGUGAAUAUGUAGAAAUUUAAAGCCAUUUUAAUUUCUUCAUUUUGCCUUAAUGUAGCAACUUUAAUAUACUCUGUAUUUUUUUUUCCUUAUAUCUAGAUUCUCAGGAAAAGGUUUUACUUAACAGGGCCUUCUUUCAUCAGCAAUAAGUAUGAAAUUAGAUCUAGACCCCUUUAACUUUACUCCUGGUUCAAUUCUAGCUUAACUAAUUGUAGUACAUUUGCUUUGCAUUCCCUGAAAUAUUACAUGGUUUUACAACAGUCAGGUUCUUUGGGUGCAUCACACCUAUGGCAAGAAUCUACUUUGACUAAUCUUGCGGAUAAAAGAUUGUGUUGACAUUUAUCCACACAAUUUGUUGAAUAUGGGACCCCCAAAACCUAAAUGAAUACAUACUAGAUCAAUCUCUUUUCAAUAUAUUCAGACAUAGUACACACCGAUAUUUCAUAGUAUUUCCAUGGUAAUUCAAAGCCUAGCUAAUUUAGGCUAACAAAGUUUCAGUGUUCAAUUUGAGCUGUUUACUUACUUUGGCCACCUUCUCCAAAAACUAGAUUCAAUCUAAUAGAUAAGAUUUUUGCCCACACCAAUAAUCAUUCCAAAACCAGGUAUAGCAAGAUGUAUUAACUCAGUUGGUUUUGUUUUUGCCAAAUAUUACAGCAACAUUACUGGAGAUCAAUAUUUAAGAAAAAAGAAAAUCACUCAUAAUGCCAUUGUACUAAAUCAAACACUUCAUCUCUAUGCAUACAUGAACAUAAUUUUAUCAAUCAAUCUAUCAAUCUAUCUAUCUAUCUAAUCUGUCUAUUUAUUUAUUGAGAGAGGAUCUUGCUCUGUUGCCCAGAUUGGAGUGCAGUGGUGCAGUCACAGCUACACUGCAGCCUCAACCUCCUGGGCUCAGCCUCCUGAGUAGCUGGGACCACAGGUGAGUGUACCACCACAUCUGGCUUUUUUUUUUUGGUAGAGACGGGGUCUCCUUAUGUUGCCCAGGCUGGUCUCUUAAGUGAUCCUCCUGCCUUGGUCUCCCAAAGUGCCACAGCACCUGGCCCUGAACAUUAUUUUAGUUUAGUUGUUUGAGAUGGAGUCUCACUUUGUCACCUAGGCUGGAAUGCAGUGGCUUGAUCUCAAUUCACUGCAACCUCCACUUCCCGGGUUUAAACAAUUCUCAUGCCUCAGCCUCCCAAGUAGCUGGGAUUACAGGCAUGCACCACCACAUCUGGCUACUUUUUGUCUUUUUAGUAGAGAUAGGGUUUCGCCAUGUUGGCCAGGCGGGUCUGGAAGUCCUGACCUCAAGUGAUCUACCUGCCUCGGCCUCCCAAAGUGCUGGGAUUAUAGGCGUGAGCCACCGUGCCCGGCCUUAAAACAAAUUCUUAAACCGGUAUUACCAAGUCAAAGAAUGAGCAUUUUCACAUCUCGAUUAAAUUUUAACCGAGAUUUAAACAUGUGUUUUCAGAGGUAUGAGUAAUAUGAGUAUUCCGGGAAAUAUAAAAAUAAGUAUUAAAAUGCUGUGGUUUUUGUUUAUAUUAAAAAAAAAAAAAAAGCACUAAAGAGAUAAGAGAGAAGCCACAUCCAAUUACUGGUAAGUCCUGCCCUGGACAUUGUGGGAAGUUGUAGCUCCCUGUGACAGUGAAAGUUCAGAUGUCUCACCAAAGCAUCUUAGUUUUUCUUUGCACUAUUUCAGAAUAAUUAUUCAUAAAUUAUCUAAAUACAUGUUCUUUUCAGAAACCAGAUUUAAGGAUGCCAGGUACGCAUUCUGAUAGCCAGGACCUUAACCAUUUUGUUCACCACUGUUGCACAAGGACCUCAAACAGAGCCAAGCAGGUAUUAGGUACCAUUUGUUAAUGAGUCUGUUUAAUGAGUGCUAUAAAGACCGAGGGAAGUUUGAACUGACUACACAUGUGUAACCUGGGAAGAAUUGCUUCUUUACUCAUGGUAUCUUAAACUUACUGAUCUACAUGCUAUUUGACAAAUCUCUUGGUCAGAAGCCAUUUCACAGAUGGAAAAUAACUGCAGAGCAUUAAGUACUGGGCCCCACUAGGGAAGGUGGGAUUCAAAUCCUAACUCCUCUCUGAAGUCCCAGCAUUCUUGCCGCACUGACUUCAUAAUGUCUGUCCCUCACAGACUAGCACCCUGUAGACAUCGACACUCUUUGCUGAUUUUUUGUUUGUUUGUUUUUUUGUUUGUUUGUUUCUGGAGUGCAGUGGCGCUAUCUCGGCUCACUACAGCCUCCUCCUCCCUGGUUCAAGCUAUUCUCACACCUCAGCCUCCCAAGCAGCUGGGAUUACAGGCGCACACCACCACACCUGGCUAAUUUUUGUAUUUUUAGUAGAAAUGGGGUUUCACCAUGUUGUCCAGGCUGGUCUCGAACUCCUGACCUCAGGUGAUCUACCCUCCUCGGCCUCCCAAAGUGCUAGGAUUACAGGCAUGAGCCACCCUGCCCAGCCCUUGCUGAUGUUUUGUAUUUUUCUAUUUCUUCACUUUUUACAUAUACAUGUGUCACUAUAGACAAAUUAUUAUAGAAAAUAUAGCUAAGACUUAAAAGUAAACACCACAAUCCUAUUCCCCAGAUAUAAUAAUACAUUGUUAACCCUUCCAGACUUUCUCUCCUAUGCCUUUUUUUU
rnacentral:lncRNA from 1 species